rnacentral:rRNA from 1 species
CGAGUGCCUCGAGCGUUAUCCGGAAUUAUUGGGCGUAAAGGGUGCGUAGGCGGUAGUGUUAGUCUCGUGUUAAAUCUGUCGGCUCAACCGAUAGGCUGCAUGGGAAACGGCACAACUAAGAGGAUGGAAGGGGUCUGCGGAACUCAUAGUGUAGCGGUGAAAUGCGUUGAUAUUAUGGGGAACACCGAAGCGAAGGCAGCAGACUGGUCCACUCCUGACGCUGAAAGCACGAAAGCGUGGGUCGCGGAAUGGGAUU